rnacentral:rRNA from 1 species
UACGGAGGGUGCGAGCGUUGUCCGGAAUCACUGGGCGUAAAGGGCGCGUAGGCGGCCCGCGCAAGCGUGCGGUGAAAGCCCGGGGCUCAACCCCGGGUCGGCCGUGCGGACUGCGGGGCUCGAGCACUGUAGGGGCAGAUGGAAUUCCGGGUGUAGCGGUGGAAUGCGUAGAGAUCCGGAAGAACACCAAUGGCGAAAGCAGCUCUCUGGGACGGUACUGACGCUGAGACGCGAAAGCGUGGGGAGCGAACAGG